rnacentral:rRNA from 1 species
AUUGAACGCUGGCGGCAGGCCUAACACAUGCAAGUCGAGCGGCAGCGGGAAAGUAGCUUGCUACUUUUGCCGGCGAGCGGCGGACGGGUGAGUAAUGCCUGGGAAAUUGCCCAGUCGAGGGGGAUAACAGUUGGAAACGACUGCUAAUACCGCAUACGCCCUACGGGGGAAAGCAGGGGACCUUCGGGCCUUGCGCGAUUGGAUAUGCCCAGGUGGGAUUAGCUAGUUGGUGAGGUAAUGGCUCACCAAGGCGACGAUCCCUAGCUGGUCUGAGAGGAUGAUCAGCCACACUGGAACUGAGACACGGUCCAGACUCCUACGGGAGGCAGCAGUGGGGAAUAUUGUACAAUGGGGGAAACCCUGAUGCAGCCAUGCCGCGUGUGUAAAGAAGGCCUUCGGGUUGUAAAGCACUUUCAGCGAGGAGGAAAGGUCAGUAGCUAAUAUCUGCUGGCUGUGACGUUACUCGCAGAAGAAGCACCGGCUAACUCUGUGCCAGCAGCCGCCGUAACAC